CCUACGGGAGGCAGCAGUGGGGGAUAGUGCACAAUGGGGGGAACCCUGAUGCAGCGACGCCGCGUGGGUGAAGAAGAGCCGCGGCGCGUAAAGCCCGGGCAGCAGGGAAGAAAAUGACGGUACCUGAAGAAGAAGCCCCGGCUAACGACGUGCCAGCAGCCGCGGGAAGACGCAGGGGGCAAGCGUUAUCCGGAUUGACUGGGUGUCAAGGGGGCGCAGACGGCGCGGCCAGCCAGGAGUGCCAGCCCGGGGCCCAACCCCGGGACUGCUCUUGGAACUGCGUGGCUGGAGUGCAGGAGGGGCCGGCGGAAUUCCUGGUGUCGCGGUGCCCUGCGUAGCUAUCAGGAG
rnacentral:rRNA from 1 species